rnacentral:rRNA from 1 species
UACGGGGGGGGCAAGCGUUGUUCGGAAUUACUGGGCGUAAAGGGCUCGUAGGCGGCCAACUAAGUCAGACGUGAAAUCCCUCGGCUUGACCGGGGAACGGCCUCUGAUACUGGAUGGCUUGAGUUCGGGAGAGGGAUGCGGAAUUCCAGGUGUAGCGGUGAAAUGCGUAGAUAUCUGGAGGAACACCGGUGGCGAAGGCGGCAUCCUGGACCGACACUGACGCUGAGGAGCGAAAGCCAGGGGAGCAAACGGG